rnacentral:rRNA from 1 species
UCCCCCCUCCGAUGAAGAUGACGGGUGGAACUUAAGCAUAUCAGUACGCCCAGGAGAGACACCAACCGGAUUCUUGAUUAGCGGCGAGCGAUCCAGGAGUAGUCCGACUCGAAGCGAUGAGCGUUGUGAGGACUGGGGGGAUGUCCUAACCGAAGAUGGGUUGAAACCCACACCAAGGAGGGUGCCAGUCCGUAGGGAUGGACACAACCCACGACGAGUACCUCUGCUUGAGAGUGUAGAGGGAAGAGGAGGUGGUACCCUUCUAAGGCUAAAUACCCCCGAGACCGAUAGAGGACCAAGUAGUGCGAACGAAAGGUGAGAAGGAUGCCGACCCAGGCACGUCAAAAGACCUGAACCGGGAGGCGACUCCGACCUGUCGAUGAUCGAUUGGUCGGGCCCGUCUCGAAACACGGACCGAGGAGUUAGGACCGAUCGCGAGUCAUGUGGCAAAGGGAAGUCAAGACUUCAAGGGCCCUUACAAGGGCAGCGAUCGGUCCUAGACCGAAAGGUGGUGAUCUACACUUGACCAGGGUGAAGCCAGACGAAAGCCUGGUGGAGGCCCAUCCCGGUGCUGACGUGCAAAUCGCUCGGUCGAGUUGAGUGUAGGGGCGAAAGACUCAUCGAACCACCUGGUAGCUGGUUACUCCGAAAUGUCUCCCAGGAUAGCCGACAUCAUGAACAGCUGCCUAGGUAAGGCCACGAUCGGUGGGAGUAGGGAGGUCACUCCUUAUCCACCCCUCGAACCAUGAACAAGGGUGGAGCGGGGCCAACUUGUGUGGGCCCCCUCAACGUGUUGAUGUCGAUGGCCUCUCCUGGUAAGCAGACGGGCAAACGGGAUGAACCGACAGUCGGGGGAAGUGUGGAAGUGUAUGCUCGAUCAAACGGUCCGUCGAUCUGACAGCUGAAGUGCUUACAGUAGAAGCUCUAAGGAGUGUGUAAAACCCACCAGCCGAAUCGAGGGCCCGGAAAUGGAACACGCCGAACAUACGAUCGGAACCCACGAGAUGUGUCUCGGUAGGAGGUCGUCAUGAUCGAGUCGAGCCAUGGGUGACACGUGUGGAUCGAGUCAUGAUGCUGAUCUCGUAGUAGUAGCCAUUACUCCAUCUGGAGGCCUGACGUGGAGAUGGGUUCCGUAUCCCUGUCGAUCAGAUACGGGUGACACGAUCCUAAGUCCGAUGUGUACGCCGUACCAUGGGUCAUCCUCACAGACGAUAGGCUGACCGUAACAUCCGGUGGUAUGAUGGGUUUGUGACAUCCUUUCACAACGGUACAUGAACGAAGCCAUGGUGGGAUCAUCCCGUCCUACCCAGUCCCCAUGCCGUAGUAUCUCAGUCGUGCAUGGCCAUGAUGGAUCACAUGUCCCUUCGGUCAUCCAUGAAACCGUUGUGUCCCCCCAUCCUGAUCGUACCACAACCGCAACAGGACUCCAAGGUGAUCAGCCUCUAGGGGGAGAGACCAUGACUCAGGGAAGUCGGCAAACUAGCUCCGUAACUCGGGAAGGAGUGGCUCUGAUCGAUCAGAACCGGCACGGACCGAGGGAUCCCGACUGUCUACUAACAACAUAGCGUCGUGCCAGUCGUCAUGGAUGCGUACACGACGUGAUUUCUGCCCAGUGCCAUGACCGUCACCAUGAAGAGGUUCAUCCAAGCCUGGUAAACGGCGGGAGUAACUAUGACUCUCUUAAGGUAGCCAAAUGCCUCGUCGGGUAAUUUCCGACGUGCAUGAAUGGAUCAACGAGGAUCCACUGUCCAAGUCAUGCCUCCGUGAACCUACAGACCCGGGAACGGGCGGGUGUUGGUCGGCGGGGCAAGAAGACCCUUUUGAGCUUGACUCCAAUCCGAUCCUGGGGGAUGGGAUCAUCGGUGCAGCAUACAGGGGAGGCGCUUCCAUGAGAUACCUGACGUUGUUCACCAUCCCACUCACCGACUUACAUCGGCACACGGUCGGAUGGGGAGUUUGGCUGGGGCGGCGCGCCUGCUAGAUCACCGCAGGCGUCCUAUGGUAAGCUCAGUGAGGUCGGAAACCUCACGUGGAGCAUAAGGGCAUAAGCUUACUUGACUAGUACCCUGUCCCGGUACUUGCCGUGAAAGCGUGGCCUAACGAUCCUUCAACCGUCCGGUAAUCCGAGCGUGGAGGUGACAGAAAAGUUACCACAGGAUAACUGGCUUGUGGCCGCAAGCGCCAUAGCGACGUGGCUUUUUGAUCCUUCGAUGUCGGCUCUUCCUACCGUCGCAUGCAUCGGUGCGGAAGCGUCGGAUUGUUCACCCGUCUAAGGGAUCGUGAGCUGGGUUUAGACGUCGUGAGACAGGUUAGUUUUAUCCUACCGACAUCUCAUGCGUCCAGUACGUCGGGUCAGUACGAGAGGAACACCGUCGCGAGCCUCCGAUCUCCCGGUUGUUUGACUUGACAGUGCCGGUCUGUCGCGCUCGGGGACUAGCACUGAACGCCUCUAAGUGUCCAUCCACCUACUCGCAUGGGUUGAGGGGCUUCCCUCGAUUCGCCCGGGUUGACGACCCUUUUUCCGACCUACUGUACGGCGUGGAGCUUCUUGCGACCGCCUGAGGUUUGGUUCGGGUUGGCAUUCCCCGAGCC